GACGUCCUACGGGAGGCAGCAGUCGAGAAUCAUUCAUAAUGGGGGAAACCCUGAUGGUGCGACGCCGCGUGGGGGAAUGAAGGUCUUCGGAUUGUAAACCCCUGUCAUGUGGGAGCAAAUUAAAAAGAUAGUACCACAAGAGGAAGAGACGGCUAACUCUGUGCCAGCAGCCGCGGUAAUACAGAGGUCUCAAGCGUUGUUCGGAAUCACUGGGCGUAAAGCGUGCGUAGGCUGUUUCGUAAGCCAUGUGUGAA
rnacentral:rRNA from 1 species